GGAGUAACCCGGGAGAAAUUUUUUUGGAUUUAAAUAAUGAAUUUCACUUUUUAGUAAAAAGGCUAAAAUUUUUUUUUUAGACGAGAAGCCCCUAUAAAACUUUAUAUUUUUUUCUUUUUAGCUAAAUUAAAAAAUAUUCUACUGGGGUGGUGAGGAAAAAGUUUUCCUUAAAAAUUUAACGUACUAGUUAAAUAUACCUAGAAUUUCUAAAAAAGAAAUAAGUUACUUUAGGGAUAACAGCUUAAUUUAUUUUGAAAGUUCUAAUUGACAAAUAAGUUUAUGACCUCGAUGUUGAAUUAAAAUACCUUUUUAUGCAAAAUUAAGAAG
rnacentral:rRNA from 1 species